CCUACGGGAGGCUGCAGUGAGGAAUAUUGGUCAAUGGGCGUAAGCCUGAACCAGCCAAGUCGCGUGAGGGAUGAAGGUUCUAUGGAUCUUAAACCUCUUUUAUAAGGGAAUAAAGUGCGGGACGUGUCCCGUUUUGUAUGUACCUUAUUAAUAAGGAUCGGCUAACUCCGUGUCAGCAGCCGCGGUAAUACGGCGGAUCCGAGCGUUAUCCGGAUUUUUUUGGGUUAAAGGGUGCGUAGGCGGCCUUUUAAGUCAGCGGUGAAAGUCUGUGGCUCAACCAUAGAAUUGCCGUUGAAACUGGGAGGCUUGAGUAGGUUUGAGGCAGGCGGAAUGCGUGGUGUAGCGGUGAAAGGCUUAGAUAUCACGCAGAACCCCGAGUGCGAAGGCAGCCUGCCAGGCCAUGACUGACGCUGAUGCACGAAAGCGUGGGGAUCAAACAGGAUUAGAUACCCUUGUAGUC
rnacentral:rRNA from 1 species